UUUAUCGUAAUGUUCGGUUUUGAGUCCUUAACAGGAUUCUUAACAGGCAUUGCAAGUUUACUUUGAACAAAUCAGAGUGCUUCAAACAGGCGUUUUCGCUUGAAUGAUCGUGCAUGGAAUAAUAGAAAACGAUUUCGGUUCAGUUUUAUUGGUUUUACGGACUGAGAUAAUGGUUAACAGAGACAAACGGGGCAUUUGUAUGGCCCCGUGAGAGGUGAAAUUCUUGGACCGUGGCCAGACAAACUACAGCGAAAGCAUUUGCCAAGAAUGUCUUCAUUAAUCAAGAACGAAAGUCAGAGGUUCGAAGGCGAUCAGAUACCGCCCUAGUUCUGACCGUAAACGAUGCCAACUAGCGAUCCGCCGAUGGAAAUUAUAUUGCCUUGGUGGGAGCUUCCGGAAACGAAAGUCUUCCGGUUCCGGGGGAAGUAUGGUUGCAAAGCUGAAACUUAAAGGAAUUGACGGAAGGGCACCACCAGGAGUGGAGCCUGCGGCUUAAUUUGACUCAACACGGGGAAACUCACCCGGCCCGGACACUGUGAGGAUUGACAGAUUGAUAGCUUUUUCAUGAUUCAGUGGAUGGUGGUGCAUGGCCGUUCUUAGUUCGUGGAGUGAUUUGUCUGGUUUAUUCCGAUAACGAGCGAGACUCUAACCUACUAAAUAGCUGGUACAUAAUUUAAGUGUAUACAGCUUCUUAGAGGGAUUUGCGGUGUUCAGCCGAAAGAAAUUGAGCAAUAACAGGUCUGUGAUGCCCUUAGAUGUCCGGGGCUGCACGCGCGCUACACUGGCAAAAUCAACGUGCUUGUCCUACCCCGAAAGGGGCGGGUAAACCAUUGAAAAUUUGCCGUGAUUGGGAUCGGAAAUUGCAAUUAUUUUCCGUGAACGAGGAAUUCCAAGUAAGUGCGAGUCAUCAGCUCGCGUUGAUUACGUCCCUGCCCUUUGUACACACCGCCCGUCGCUGCCCGGGACUGAGCCAUUUCGAGAAAUUUGGGGACCGUUGAUUUAAUUUUUCUAAAUUUCUUUGAUGGAAACCAAUUUAAUCGCAGUGGCUUGAACCGGGCAAAAGUCGUAACAAGGUAGCUGUAGGUGAACCUGCUGCUG
rnacentral:rRNA from 1 species